UAACAUUCCGAAAGGAGUGCUAAUACCGCAUAAGACCACGCCCUCGAAAGAGGAAGCGGUCAAAGCUGGCCUCUAUACAUAAGCUAGCACUCGAAAAUGAGCCCGCGGAGCAUCAGCUAGUUGGUGAGGUAAUGGCUCACCAAGGCUUAGACGCUUAGCUGGUCUGAGAGGAUGAUCAGCCACACUGGAACUGAGACACGGUCCAG
rnacentral:rRNA from 1 species